rnacentral:pre_miRNA from 1 species
AAACACGUCACCUGGGGCCUUGUUAAAAUGUGGAUUCUGAUUCAGUAGGGCAGGGGGGUCUGAAACCCCCAUUUCUAACAAGCUCCCAGGUGAUGCUGAU